UUGGUGUUGUCCUUGAUCAUCUAGCUAAAAGUGUAUUUGUCUGGUUUCUCCAACUAUGAAAUUCUUACCUCUAACCCCACCCCCUUCAUACUGUACUCCUUGGAACAAAGUCACUAUGCCAACACUUAAGGAGUCGAGAGACAUAGCACAGUGAGCUCAGAUUAAUAAGAAAAUAGAGUCACAGUUUAAGAUAAUAUUGAUUCUGGAGAACAACUGAGGAUGCUAUGUUUUUUCCUUGAAGAAUUGAUAGGGUGGAAAUCUAGAGGCACCAUAUGAUGUCCUUCUGAAGAAAAGUUCAGGGGGUCAUGAAACCCAGGCUUUAUACCCCCAGAAAACUGCCAAGUGUAUGGAUUCUCCUUCACCAGGGGGCCAGGUGAUUCUUGAAGGAAUCACAAAGAGAAUACUUUGAGAUGGGAAAAAAAUCUCAGAAAAUUUGUCAUUUUUGUAAGAUGCUGAUCUCCUGAUUAUUUCUCCAAGCGACCCAGACAUGUGUCCGAUCUAAAUAAGGAGGCAUCUUCAGAAAUUCUUCACAAACAUCCCCAAGAAAUCAUAAAGUGAGGGUCUGUGACCUUUGCCUUUGCAAAGAAAAAUGUGUAGAUCUUCCCACUGACCGAAGAAUGAAAAUCUCAUUAAAAACUUGUUUCAGAGAGAUUGGAGCAGGGAGCAGAUGUCAGUAGAACUACCAAAUUGUAUGUUCCUUGUAUUACAUGAAUGUAGUUACUUAAAAUAAAAUGUUGGUGCUAUUAUAACAAGAGUA